UUUAAAGAGAGUUUGAUCCUGGCUCAGGACGAACGCUGGCGGCGUGCCUAAUACAUGCAAGUCGAACGAACGGAGGAAGAGCUUGCUCUUCCAAAGUUAGUGGCGGACGGGUGAGUAACACGUGGGCAACCUGCCUGUAAGUUGGGGAUAACUCCGGGAAACCGGGGCUAAUACCGAAUGAUAAAGUGUGGCGCAUGCCACGCUUUUGAAAGAUGGUUUCGGCUAUCGCUUACAGAUGGGCCCGCGGUGCAUUAGCUAGUUGGUAGGGUAAUGGCCUACCAAGGCAACGAUGCAUAGCCGACCUGAGAGGGUGAUCGGCCACACUGGGACUGAGACACGGCCCAGACUCCUACGGGAGGCAGCAGUAGGGAAUCUUCCGCAAUGGACGAAAGUCUGACGGAGCAACGCCGCGUGUAUGAAGAAGGUUUUCGGAUCGUAAAGUACUGUUGUUAGAGAAGAACAAGGAUAAGAGUAACUGCUUGUCCCUUGACGGUAUCUAACCAGAAAGCCACGGCUAACUACGUGCCAGCAGCCGCGGUAAUACGUAGGUGGCAAGCGUUGUCCGGAUUUAUUGGGCGUAAAGCGCGCGCAGGCG
rnacentral:rRNA from 1 species